rnacentral:rRNA from 1 species
GAUGUCGAGAGGGUUAGCCUCACGGUGUCGCAGCUAACGCGUUAAGUUCUCUGCCUGGGGAGUACGGCCGCAAGNUNNNNACUCAAAGGAAUUGACGGGGACCCGCACAAGCGGUGGAGCAUGUGGUUCAAUUCGAUGCAACGCGAAGAACCUUACCUGGCCUUGACAUCCUCGGAACUUGGCAGAGAUGCCUUGGUGCCUUCGGGAACCGAGAGACAGGUGCUGCAUGGCUGUCGUCAGCUCGUGUCGUGAGAUGUUGGGUUAAGUCCCGCAACGAGCGCAACCCUUGUCCUUAGUUGCCAGCACUUCGGGUGGGCACUCUAAGGAGACCGCCGGUGACAAACCGGAGGAAGGUGGGGAUGACGUCAAGUCAUCAUGGCCUUUAUGGCCAGGGCUACACACGUGCUACAAUGGCUGGUACAGAGGGCUGCCAACCCGCGAGGGGGAGCCAAUCCCACAAAGCCAGUCGUAGUCCGGAUCGGAGUCUGCAACUCGACUCCGUGAAGUCGGAAUCGCUAGUAAUCGCGAAUCAGCAUUGUCGCGGUGAAUACGUUCCCGGGUCUUGUACACACCGCCCGUCACACCAUGGGAGUUGAUUGCACCAGAAGCAGGUAGCCUGACCGCAAGG